CAGCAUUAAAAUUGGUAAGAAAAGAACAGAAUUCUUUAACCAGGGGCGGGGCCUUCGUCAGGGUUGCAAUCUGAGCCCUGCACUCUUCAAUAUUUACAUCAACGAAUUGGCCACUAUUCUAGAAAAAUCCUCAGCCCCUGGUGUUAGUCUCCACAAUUCAGAAGUUAAAUGCCUACUCUUCGCAGAUGACCUAUGCCUGCUGUCACCCACAGCACCUGGCCUACAGCAGAGCCUGGACCUGCUAGAGCAGUACUGCCAGACCUGGGCCCUGGCAGUAAACCCCAAAAAGACUAAAAUAAUGAUUUUCCAGAGAAGAUCCAGAUCUCAGGGAAUUAGACCAAAGUUCUCAAUUGGUACAAAAUAUAUAGAGUACUGUACACACUACAAUUACUGAGGUUUAAAUAUAUAGAGUACUGUACACACUACAAUUACCUUGGUUUAAAAAUAAGCUCAACUGGACACCUUAAUGAGGCAGUGAAUGAACUGAGAGAGAAAGCACGCAGGGCAUUCUACGCCAUUAAAAAGCAAAUUCAAAUUGAAAUACCUAUUAAAAUUUGGCUAAAACUAAUUGAAUAUGUCAUUGAACCAAUUGCACUUUAUGGCAGCGAGGUGUGGGGUCCACUUGCAAAACAAGAUUUCAUCAAAUGGGACAAACACCCCAUUGAAACCCUACAUGCAGAGUUCUGUAAGAUUCUCCUACGUGUCCAGAGGAAAACUACAAACAAUGCAUGCAGGGCAGAAUUAGGCCAAUAUCCACUAAUAAUAAAAACUCAAAAAAGAGCAAUUAAGUUUUGGAAACAUCUAAAAUACAGUGACCCCCUCUCAUAUCAUUACCAAGCCCUGCAAUGCCAAGAGCUGAGCAAAGAAAAGAGUCCCCUCAUCCAGCUGGUCCUGGGGCUGAGUUCACAAACCUGUUCUACUAACACACUGAAGCCUCAGGACCAGAACAUCCAAUCAAUCAGAAUAAACCAAAUUACAACACAGUCAAAACAAAACUACAUUGCUUAUUGGGAAACACAAGCACAAACACAAAGCAAAAUGCAGUGCUAUCUGGCCCUAAAUCGACAGUACACUAUGGCUAAAUAUUUGACCAUGGUUACUGAUCAAAACCUUAGAAAAACCUUGACAAAGUACAGGCUCAGUGAGCACAGCCUUGCCAUUGAGAAGGGUAGACACAGGAAAACCUGGCUCCCUGUAGAGGAAAGGCUGUGCAACCACUGCACCACAGCAGAACCUGAGACGGAGCUGCAUUUCCUGACAAAAUGUCAAAAAUAUAAAACAAUUAGAGAGUGUCAUUUCCCCAAAUUUGAAACCCUUAUUCAAGGUUUCAAAGACCUCUCUGAUGAGGAUAGGCUACCCGUCCUGUUGGGGGAGGACCCAAAAAGCUGUGGGUUGGCAGCGCACUACAUUGCUGCCUGCCNNNNNNNNNNNNNNNNNNNNN
rnacentral:lncRNA from 8 species